AGGGAUUCAAGUAGUGAUGGUAGCAGUGAUUGUGAACCUGAAAGAGGACUGAAGGGCUCUAGGGAACAAUGGAAUCAUCACCAUUUGACAAAUGAUGUUCCUCUUAGAAUGGAUAUAUUGUCUUUGAGAGAUCAACAUAUUGCCCGCCAAGAGGACUUUUCUAGUGAUGAAGGUGAAUCUAUGAAUUCCCAAGGUUGCUUGCUAUUUGAGUAUCUUGAAAAAGAUCCUCCUUACAGCCGGGAACCGUUAGCUGAUAAGAUAUCAGAUCUUGCCUUGCGUUUCCCUGGGUUGAAGACAUUAAGAAGUUGUGAUUUACUGUCAUCAAGCUGGAUUUCUGUGGCCUGGUAUCCAAUUUACAGGAUACCAACCGGACCAACAUUGAAAGACCUGGAUGCUUG
rnacentral:misc_RNA from 1 species